rnacentral:rRNA from 1 species
GAUGAACGCUAGCGGCAGGCUUAACACAUGCAAGUCGAGGGGCAGCACGUCUUCGGAUGGUGGCGACCGGCGCACGGGUGCGUAACGCGUAUACAACCUAUCUUAUAGAGGGGAAUAGCCCAGAGAAAUUUGGAUUAAUGCCCCAUAGUAUUAUUGAAUAGCAUUAUUUGAUGAUUAAACAUUUAUGGCUAUAAGAUGGGUAUGCGUUCUAUUAGCUAGAUGGUAAGGUAACGGCUUACCAUGGCAACGAUAGAUAGGGGUCCUGAGAGGGAGAUCCCCCACACUGGUACUGAGACACGGACCAGACUCCUACGGGAGGCAGCAGUGAGGAAUAUUGGACAAUGGGCGAGAGCCUGAUCCAGCCAUGCCGCGUGCAGGAAGCGGCCCUAUGGGUUGUAAACUGCUUUUAUACGGGAAGAAGCACUCCUUCGUGAAGGAGCUUGACGGUACCGUAAGAAUAAGGAUCGGCUAACUCCGUGCCAGCACG